CCUUACCUACCAAUAUGGCUAGCUUUACUCUGGCCCUCAGCAAACAGAAAAGUGGGACGCAAAACUGAGCCCCGCGGGCUACAGAAGGCUGCGCUUACCUUUUCUGACUCUGGGAUGGGAGGAAGACACCCCGGGCUACGUGGAGUUUAAAACUCCAAUAUAAGGAAUCUGAUUGGGCUCUGGCUGCCUGCUCUGCGGACAGAAAAAGCCCAGCAGAGCAGGAAAGUGUGGUCUUAUCCUCAAGGAAGGGCAUGAGCUGGGAGGUCACCCACAUUAUUACCUUCACAUCAGUUGUCACACCUAAUAGCAAAGGUGACUGGAAAUACAGUCUUUCUUCUGAGCAGCCACAUGCACAGCAAACGUGGGAGUGAAAAAGGAGGCACGGUGAUGGAGUGCGUGGGU
rnacentral:lncRNA from 1 species